rnacentral:rRNA from 1 species
AACGAACGCUGGCGGCGUGCCUAACACAUGCAAGUCGAGCGCGAAUUGGAGCAAUCCAUAGUAGAGCGGCGCACGGGUGCGUAACACGUGGGUAAUCUGCCUCAAAGAUCGGAAUAACCUGCCGAAAGGCUGGCUAAUGCCGGAUAAGCCUACGGACUCCUCGGAGUCUGAAGGAAAAGGUGGCCUCUGUACACAAGCUAUCACUUUGAGAUGAGCCCGCGGCCCAUCAGGUAGUUGGCGGGGUAAUGGCCCACCAAGCCUACGACGGGUAGCUGGUCUGAGAGGACGAUCAGCCACACUGGAACUGAGACACGGUCCAGACUCCUACGGGAGGCAGCAGUGGGGAAUUUUGCGCAAUGGGCGAAAGCCUGACGCAGCAACGCCGCGUGUGUGAUG